rnacentral:rRNA from 1 species
UACGUAGGUGGCGAGCGUUGUCCGGAUUUACUGGGCGUAAAGGGAGCGUAGGCGGACUUUUAAGUGAGAUGUGAAAUACCCGGGCUCAACUUGGGUGCUGCAUUUCAAACUGGAAGUCUAGAGUGCAGGAGAGGAGAAUGGAAUUCCUAGUGGAGCGGUGAAAUGCGUAGAGAUUAGGAAGAACACCAGUGGCGAAGGCGAUUCUCUGGACUGUAACUGACGCUGAGGCUCGAAAGCGUGGGGAGCAAACAGGAUUAGAUACCCCGGUAGU